rnacentral:lncRNA from 1 species
UUGGCCUACAAAUUUGCAUGUUUUAGGUUUUCACUUUAUUCUUUUGUCCACAUCCCAUAUGUAUAGCAUGAUAGUUACUGAUUUAUCAUAAUAUAGUGUUUGAUAUUGUCCGACUUUCAAUCAACUCAAAAUAAUGUUACACAAGCUUUGCCCUGGCCAUAUUUCUGGAAUAGGCUUGCACCACAACCAACUGCUUUACCAUUCUCUUUGGCAUGUUACCUUGUGAUGCACUCAAAAGCACAAGGAGUAUUCCAUUACCUUUGAUGUGAAAUACUGAGUUUGAAUGACCUAUCAUUAACAAUUGGAUUAGAACACUAAUGGAUCGUCUAUCUUGUGGCCAGAAUGUGAAUAAUCACUAUUCCCAUCACUUGUGUGUCUUCUCUUUUGAUCAAAUCAAGGAUUCAAACAUAGGUACUGACAUCUGUUAGACUGGUACAAUGCUAGUUCGUCCCUUGCCAACUCAUGAUAUGGCAUUGCAUAGCGGUAACAUAUUGGGACACAAUUUUGUAACCCUUAAGUUUUUUCCUUAUUUUUUCUAUUUUUUUUGUUGUUCAUUAUGGAUAUUAAUUGGACUUAAUUUUUUUUAAUGUUUGAGUGGUAUUUGAAAGGGUGUGUGAUAUUGGAGUGCCGGUAUCGGUACUGAUAACUUAUUGAAUCAAAAUGGUUUAAGAAACUAGCAGCAUCUACAAAUGAAAAGUGACAUAAUAUACAAUAUUCUAAUAGAAAAUGCACACUUUAAAAACUCAAGCCCAAGUCAAGUGUUCAUGGCCCUUGUAUACAUCCAAGCAAGGUCCAUAGUUUUGGUACCAGGUAUCGUAUGGGUUAGGUACCGAUACAGUAUUGUACUGAAUCGUACCAUAUCGACAAUCAUACACAAAUGUGUAUCGGUUC